AAGUCGUAACCAGGUUUCCGUAGGUGAACCUGCGGAAGGAUCAUUACAGAGAUAGGGUCUUCCAGGCCCGAACCUCCACCCUUUGUCUACCUUACCAUUGUUGCUUUGGCGGGAACCCUCGGGCCACCGGCCCGGCGGACCGCCCGCCAGAGGACCCCUAAAUUCUGUUUACUGUGACGUCUGAGUACCAUACAAUAGUUAAAA
rnacentral:misc_RNA from 1 species